GGGCCGCUAGCUCAAUCGGCAGAGCAGCGGACUUUUAAUCCGCGGGUUCAGGGUUCGAUCCCCUGGCGGCCCA
rnacentral:tRNA from 2 species